UCGGCGUCUCGAGACCCGCCCCGGCCCCACCGCGCGCGCCAGAGCCGAGCGGUUUCCGGGAGCCCGUUGCCUGGACGCGGUUGCUUGGCAGCCCGAGGUGGAGGCUUUCCCCGCCAACCCCAGCCCCUGACAGGGGGAGAAAGGAUUGCUAUGAUUGGACCCAUAGAUCUGACCCUCCAGUUAGUAAGCAUUGGUCACGCUUCACCUGAGCAAGGUGAAUGAAUACUUACUGGAAAGGAGGAAAGCGAGUUUUCAUGAAUUACCUUGCAGUCUGCAGCUGAAACUCAACUCGAUCACUUCCCAGGACAAUGCCUCACUUAAUUUGCAUCCUUUACCUUGCACUCCCUUCUGCAGGAACUGUUCCCCCCUCUAUCGGAUCUGGGCUCUAACUCCUUCUCUUUUGACUGCUGCCUUCCAGUGCCCCACCCCCACCCCCUUGCACCCAACCCUUUCCAGACUUCUGCCAGUAUUUUAUGUUCUGAGAAUGAUACACGAAGCAAUCCACUUUAUUCCCUGGGGCGAGGGGGAAGGGAGGAGAGAUAUUACUGUCAUUGCACCUAUCAGCAUAUAUAAAAAUAUUUUAUUUUCCCAAUUACAUGUAAUCAUUUUAAACAUGUUUGCCGAACUUCUAAAAUCCAAAUUGUCUCCUUCCCUCCCUUUCUUCCUCAGAGAUGGUAAACAAUUUGAUCGGGGUUAUACAUUUAUUAUCAUGGAAAACAUACUUCAAUAUUGGUCAUUGUUGUAAGAGAAUACUCAUCUAAAACCAAAACCCCAAAAUAAAAACACAAAUAAA